rnacentral:misc_RNA from 1 species
GAUGAAGAACGUAGCGAAAUGCGAUAAGUAAUGUGAAUUGCAGAAUUCAGUGAAUCAUCGAAUCUUUGAACGCACAUUGCGCCCGUCAGUAUUCUGGCGGGCAUGCCUGUCCGAGCGUCAUUUCAACCCUCAAGCCCCCGGGCUUGGUGUUGGGGAUCGGCGAGCCUCCGCGCCCGCCGUCCCCUAAAUCUAGUGGCGGUCUCGCUGUAGCUUCCUCUGCGUAGUAGCACACCUCGCACUGGGAAACAGCGCGGCCACGCCGUUAAACCCCCAACUUCUGAACGUUUGACCUCGGAUCAGGUAGGAAUACCCGCUGAACUUAAGCAUAUCAAUAAGCGGAGGA